AUUGAACGCUGGCGGCAUGCUUUACACAUGCAAGUCGAACGGCAGCGGGGGCUUCGGCCCGCCGGCGAGUGGCGAACGGGUGAGUAAUGCAUCGGAACGUGCCCAGUCGUGGGGGAUAACACAUCGAAAGAUGUGCUAAUACCGCAUACGUCCUGAGGGAGAAAGCGGGGGAUCUUCGGACCUCGCGUGAUUGGAGCGGCCGAUGUCAGAUUAGCUAGUUGGUGAGGUAAAGGCUCACCAAGGCGACGAUCUGUAGCGGGUCUGAGAGGAUGAUCCGCCACACUGGGACUGAGACACGGCCCAGACUCCUACGGGAGGCAGCAGUGGGGAAUUUUGGACAAUGGGCGCAAGCCUGAUCCAGCCAUGCCGCGUGAGUGAAGAAGGCCUC
rnacentral:rRNA from 1 species